rnacentral:tRNA from 1 species
AAAUAGAUAGCUUAAUUAAAGCAUAGCAUUGAAGAUGCUGGGAUAGGUUAGACCUUCUGUUUA